GUAGGUGGCAAGCGUUGUCCGGAAUUAUUGGGCGUAAAGCGCGCGCAGGCGGUUCUUUAAGUCUGAUGUGAAAGCCCACGGCUCAACCGUGGAGGGUCAUUGGAAACUGGGGAACUUGAGUACAGAAGAGGAAAGCGGAAUUCCACGUGUAGCGGUGAAAUGCGUAGAGAUGUGGAGGAACACCAGUGGCGAAGGCGGCUUUCUGGUCUGUAACUGACGCUGAGGCGCGAAAGCGUGGGGAGCAAACAGGGAUUAGAUACCCUGGUAGUCCACGCCGUAAACGAUGAGUGCUAAGUGUUAGGGGUUUCCCGCCCCUUAGUGCUGCAGCUAACGCAUUAAGCACUCCGCCUGGGGAGUACGGCCGCAAGGCUG
rnacentral:rRNA from 1 species